rnacentral:tRNA from 1 species
GGUAGCUCAGUGGUAGAGCACUUGCCUUGCAUGCAUGAGGCCUUGGGUUCGAUUCCCCAGCACCA